AGUUUAAAUAUUUGCUUAUGAUGCAGUGAGAUAAUAUGCCAGCUAAAGCGACGGCAACUCCAUGAAAAUCAUGUGUUUGCUGCUGCUAAUAAAAUGCAGAUCCAAUUAGUGUCCGUCAGCUGUGCGGAAAUACGAUGGAGUCCAUACUCGAUGGUAGGCUUGAUGGAUAUUGCAAGUGUGCUUGGACUGGUUUCUUGUGGGAGGCACCCUCAAAUCGAUCCUUGGUUAGUUGUGUUCCAUUGUUUUUCACUGGCCAAAACCCAGGGAUGGUCAAUAUGAAGCUAACUCUGUACUACCUUCUUUUUUGGGCCUGAAUUAUCAUAUCAUUCCCCUGAAUUUAGUGCACAUAACCUGAUUUGAGUUUGUCGUUCAACCUAUAAGAGAGAAGGUUGUGUAGAGAGUUGCAAUUGCUUGGCGUUCAAAUUUGAAUGAAUAUAUGCAGCCACCUCUGUGUCAGUACAAAAUGAUAUUGGUGAACUGAGAACAAUAUGCAAGAAUCACUAGGAACAACACUCGAACGUGCAAUGUUGAAUCAACUGCUUGUAAGGGGUCAGAUAAAUAAAGCAGAUUGCUGGGCUUUAACUAGGCUCAAACUGGACUGGAUGUAUUAAUUUAGGCCGGUCAGAUAAAUAAGGUUAUUUUUUAAUCCGUGGGUACAGUUCAGCGUGUAUAAAUUUAAGAAGCAACUAGGUCAGAUGUGCAAUUAACAUGUAGGAUGCAAAUGGAUAUCAGUCAACCCUAUUUAUUAAAACAUUUGACUUCACUUCUCAUAUGGGUUUGGUGUUCAGUUACAUGAUUAAUUAACGCUCAGUUCUUGAUGUUUACUUCCAACUAAAAAAGAUAGCAUGAUAGUAUGAAUUUACUUCAAAUUGAACUGAAACAGAAUUGUGAUAGAUUUGUAGGAUAAUCUCUCUCUCUCUCUCUCUCUCUCUCUCUCUCUCUCUCUCUCUCUCUCUCUCUCUCUCUCUCUCUCUCUCUCGGGUGUGGUUAAUACACAAAGGUAAAAUUUGAUAAGUUCGUCCGCAGUGUAUAACCUUCAUUAGUCAACAUGGUUCAGUGUGUGCCGAGGGCAACUGCAUCAUUUUUUAUGAAUUAAAUUUAGCAUCAUUUUAUUGUUUCAAUGAUUCCAUCUUAAUAUUCUUGCACUGAAAUGAGGGAACGUGAGAGGUGUUUGUGGUCAGUAGACUUCUCACUCGGCACCCAAUUAGUAUUCUUGCACUGCUUUCGCUUCUUCAUUUACAUGCACACCACUUUGCUUUCUCCGGAUACCGUAUAAUAAUAACAGCUACACAUUUCAACAUGAUGCCAUAUAAAGCUUGAUAAAAUCAAUCUCCGGAAGAAUUUUUUUCUCUACCGAAAUCUGAAGGAAUUAUAUAAGCAUGUGUUAUUUAACCAGAGAUAAACUUUAUCAGUUUAGAACAAGUAGCUUUGUUCACGUCUUUGUGAUCAAGAUAAAAUUUUA